rnacentral:lncRNA from 1 species
GCAGCAAGACAGUAGCGAAUGGUGCCAUAUUGGCAGAAGGUGCUGUUGGAGUGGCAGUGGCUGCGGCUGUGGUGAUCUUGAGCUAGCGCAAGAAAAUGAAGCGAAUGCUGUUCUCUGAUUUCCCUUUGUACCUAGCAUAUAUUUUAGCGCUUAGUGCUGCCCGCCCCAUAUAUCUUCAUCCACAAUAAUGGUCAAAUCAUUGCCGGUGCUUGGAUGGAACAAGCCAGCAAACUCUUUGAAAGUCACAGGAAAAAUCUAUGCCCAUUUUCAACACAUCUUUUGUUGCGUGAUACUACCUUUUCCAGUUGGUUAGUAGUUAAACAUGCUGCUUUGAGUGAGUUGCAAUAUGCGUAUGACGCCUGGUAAUAUGCAUUUAUGCGAUGCUUGCCCAACUUCCAAUCCUUCGAGCAAAUUUCUCCAACCUAAGAAAAAUGUUUAGCUGGAUCAAGAUUUCUUCCCAUGUGCAAGAGAUGAUUAUUAAGAAUCUGGGACGUGUGAUGCACCUUUUCCGUCAUUGAACAGAGAACAUUUUCACCACUUGGAAUCUUUCAUUGGUGGAUUUGUUCUUCAACGCACAGUAGUGUUUUAACUUUGGUUGAAGAACCACUCUAGCCCUUUUGCCAUCUUUUUCGAAUUCUCCUCUCAGCUUGUGGAUGGCUGUAUUGUUUCGUCUGCUUCAACGGGGAAUCAAGUCAGAGACGUGGUUUCGACCUCUCGUGAAGAAGUAUGGGACGCACGAACCUCUUAAUUGACACAAUGGCUCUGGUAAUUUGGACAUCGCUUCUGAUUUGAAAACAAAUAAUUCUGUCAGUGAAUUAAGAAGAUUAACAUGAAAAAAGAAUAACGAACUUUCAAAUUAAAAUGAAAAGCAUACACUAUCCGGUUCAACACAUCUGGGGAAGAAGGAGCGCGCUAGGAUUCCUCUGGGUUAAAAGCCAGUAUUCGAGCAAGAGGAGCCUCCUCAUUGCACGCUGGGGUCCUAACUUUGGUUGAAGAUCCAGUCUCGCCAUUUCAUCUUUCUCUCCUCUCAGCUUGUAGAUGGCUGCAUUGUUUCAUCUGCUUAACGGGAAAUCAAGUCAGAGGCGAGGUUUCGACCUCUCGUGAUGUCGUAUGGGACGUGUGCGCCUCUCAUUGACACAAUGGCUCUGGUAAUUUGGACAUUGCUUCUGAUUUGAAAACUAAUUAUUCUGCAAGUGAACUGUGGAGAUUAACAUGAAAAAGGGGUAAUGAAUUGGCAAACCAAAAUGAAAAGCACGCACUAUCUAGUUCAACACAUCUGGGAAAAAGGAGCGCCCUAGUUUGGCUUUAGUCGAAGGUAAUUGUUGAAUGGGAAUAAGAGGGGCUGCUGAAACUGCCGACUGACGAGGCAUUGUCGA